rnacentral:lncRNA from 1 species
GUCGACUUCAGCUACGCUAUUCUUGUAGCUGAAGUUGAGUAUCUUAGGUCCGAUUCCCCCCCCCCCCCCGCCCUUCCCCCCUCCAGUGUAGACCAGGCCUAAGUGGAUCACCACCAAGAGUGAGUUGACAGUUCAUUCUCUUGGUACAUUCCAUUUUUGGUCUGUCUGCUGAGCCUGCUAACAAGGAUGUCAGUGAUUUCAGUGAUGUAGACGCUUGUCUGCUGGAAACUAUACUAGAGUACCACUCAUUCAUUUUAUAAAAAGCUGCCAAGUAGCCAUCAUAUGAAACCACCUACACAGGAUCUUUUGUAUAUCAUGACAGUGAAUAAGUAUCUCAGUGUAAUCUUCAGCAUGAAAGAUACAAUCUAAUAAAAGUAUUCUGGUGCAACUGAAUUACUUUCUCUUGGAUUUAACAUAGAAGAUCUUUCUAUGGAAAAGAUGUUUCACAUACUUGGACACCUGCCAUGGGUGACAUCUUUAUCCAUAUCAUUCUAAGAUCACUUAAUAGUCGUGGGGAGAGACAGACAGAGAGAUAUAGUAAUAGCUCAAUACCUACAUUGAGGUAGGUACAUCCUAAGAAGGGCUUCAAAACAUCUCUGUUCUGAUUUAAAAGUACUAAAACAGUAAGACUGCAGUUGUCCUGUUACCAUUAUGUCUUGUGUGCCUGUGAGAUUGGCUAAUGUGCAUGGGGUGAGCACCCAGUCACAUCAGCCCAUUGGUUUUGAAAGAAACGCUUGAGUAUGAUACUCUGCUUUGCUAAAAACAGGGUAUAUUAUACCAUCUGUGUGAUUACUGAGAUGUACAGUGGGCUGUCCUGGUUCAGUAGCUGAGCCCCUCUGGCACCUCUGGGAAUGUCUCUUUAAGACUUGCUGAAUUUGUUUAUUUGUACAAAAGAGCUUGACCUAGAAAACAUACAAUUUUAAAGGCAGAAAGCAUCCUCCUUCCUUUCCCUCUAUGCUUAUAAAAAACAUUUCCUUUCCACAGUUCCCAUCUGAACACUUUUAAAUUACAUUUUUAUUAAAAUUGAUUUGUUAACGCAUUCCAUGACCGUUUCCUACAAAAAAUAUAAUCUGAAGUGUCUUUUAUGCUGUAAAAUGAUGCUUCCCUUCCUCAUC